rnacentral:rRNA from 1 species
UGCAUAUCAAUAAGCGGAGGAAAAGCCGUCUUGAAACACGGACCAUGCAUAUCAAUAAGCGCGGAGGAAAAGCCGUCUUGAAACACGGACCAGUGCAUAUCAAUAAGCGGAGGAAAAGAAACCAACAGGGAUUGCCUUAGUAACGGCGAGUGAAGCGGCAAAAGCUCAAAUUUGAAAUCGGCCACCAGGUCGAGUUGUAAUUUGUAGAUUGUAUCUUGAGAGCGGAUUAAAGUCUGUUGGAACACAGCGCCUUAGAGGGUGACAGCCCCGUAAAAUCUAUUCUCAUUGUAAGAUACUUUCGAAGAGUCGAGUUGUUUGGGAAUA